GGAAAGCUGCCCGAGUGGCAAGGGGCCGCCUUGCUAAGGCGUGGCCGGCGUGGAAACGCCGCGGGGGUUCGAUUCCUCUGCUUUCCGCCA
rnacentral:tRNA from 1 species